rnacentral:rRNA from 1 species
AACGAACGCUGGCGGCGUGCCUAACACAUGCAAGUCGAGCGAGGAGUCCGGGUCUUUGCGCGGACGGCUGAGUAACGCGUGGGAAUAUGCACUUCUGUACGGAAUACCUCUGAGAAACUGAGAGUAAUACCGUAUAGGCCCUAAUGGGGUAAGAUUUAUUGGAGAAGUAUGAGCCCGCGUUGGAUUCGGUGGUUGGUAGGGUAAUAGCUGACUAAGCCGAGGAUGAACAGCUGGUUUGGGAGAAUGAUUAGCGACACUUGGACUAAGACACGGCCCAGACUCCUACGGAAGGCGGCAGUGGGGAAUCUUAGAAAGUGGGGGCAACGCUGAUCUAGCCAUGCCCGGUAAGUGAUGAAGGCCUUGGGGUAGUAAUGCUCUAUCAGCUGGGAAGAUAAUGACGGUACCAGCAGAAGAAGCCCCGGCUAACUACGUG